rnacentral:rRNA from 1 species
UAAACACGUAGGGAACCUGCCCAUGCGGCCGGGACAACUUCCGGAAACGGAUGCUGAUACCGGAUAAGGAAAGCGAAGGCAUCUUUGCUUUGUUAAAGGAGCUGCAAGGCUCCGCGCAUGGAUGGACCUGCGGUGCAUUAGCUGGUUGGUGAGGUAAAGGCUCACCAAGGCGACGAUGCAUAGCCGGCCUGAGAGGGCGAACGGCCACACUGGGACUGAGACACGGCCCAGACUCCUACGGGAGGCAGCAG